AUGUAUCAACACUGGUGCAGAGUCUACGACAAGCCUUGGCCCUUGAAGCUAAAUUCCAACCAAAGCUUCAACUUCUGUCAACACUCAACAGCCAGCAAUACAGGAGGAUGGAGCUGCUCAUGUUCUUCGCUGCAUGAAAGUCUGGUAUGAUCUUCUUUAUGCCAUUCUUCUGGAUGCUCUCAACAUGAUGGACUGGUUCAUGAGCCGCAUGAAAGCACUCCUAAACACCUCUCAUGCAUAGCAAUCAGCUCCUUCCAUCAAGCAGCUUGCCAAUGGGUGGAGAGGGUUAAACAGAACAACAUUGAGGUAUCUUCCAUUCAGAGUCCAUUGUUGAUUGUUCCUGAACCACAAUAUCUGGUAACGAAAUCUUAAUGUAAAUGUACC
rnacentral:lncRNA from 1 species